CACUUUACCUCCAGUCACCGGCUGAAAAGAUGUUUUUAGAUGUCAAUAGGAAAGAAAGGAAAAGAUUAUUUGGGUCAUAUAGCCCCUAUUUUCCUAUUUGACGCUGAUGUUUUUUGACGUUUCGAUUUGUAAAUUGCCAUUUUUUCUCCCAUAAGAAUACAGAGUAGCUGCUACUGGAGUUGUAGAGAGCUAGAGAGCAUGAUUUAUUUAUUUUUCUACUUUCUUCAGCUGAGAAACUAAAUAGGAGUGAAAAGAAAAUCAAGAACAGAGCUUUUUAACAGAAAAAAAAAAAGGACUAACUCUCCUUUUUUCAGUCCUCCCAAUCCUGUGUCAAUCCCCCCGACCUUUAAAGGACACUUGACCUCUGCAAGCAUCUUCAGUUAUUGAAGUUUUCCUUCCCUUGGAGACCCGACUAUCUCCAGGAAGACUAGAUGACUGCGAUCUCUCCUUUGUUUCAUCCCUUCUCCCGCGGCCUCCCUCCUCCCCCCCGGUAACUUUUUCUGGAUCUCUACUCUCUAGUCUCGCUCUCGUGUCCCAAUUUUUCCAGCUCUUUGGCCGUGAGCUUCUGAAGAGCGAAGCGUGUCCGUGAACUAGCUUAGCGCCAAACGUACACUAGAAGCUAAAUGAGCGUUGAAUGACCCAUCUCGCGGAUUCGGCUAUGGGAUCUCACCAUAUCCCACCUUAGCCCAAGCUCUGAUUCCCCAUGGCUUGUGGCGUUUUUCAGAAAGACAAAAAGAAGAAUCUGGGGACAGAAAGUGUUUGAAAGCAGGAUUGCCAAAAGAAGGCGGGAUGGUACAGUGGGAAGAGCCCGAGAUCCCGGCUCAGGGAAUCCAGAUUCUGAGCAGACUCUCUUACAUCCGCGUUGUCUGUAUGACCCGAGACAAGACACUUUUCAUAAUCGCCUCCUCGGUCGGGGAAUGAGGACUUAGCUGAUCUCCGAGGUGGGUUUCAGUUCUAAAUCCCGUCAAGUCGAUUACCUUUUUUUGGGGGGGAGGUUCCAAGGUAAACAAGCUACCCCAAGCUGGUUUUCAUUAGGUUUUUUUAAUUUGUGGAAAUGUAGUCCCCCCCCCCCCCAAGAUUCAGACGGUCACGUUUUAUCCGAGAGGGGAGCUUCCUAGUGAGACAAAUGUGACUUAUAGUUUGAAAAGGAGUUUUGGAUCACAAAGCGCCGCGUUCGAUCCCCAGACGAAGCUGGGAGGUAGGAAAGUGCCGGCAUCUCCCACUGCGUUUUAUAAAAGGGAAACGGUCUCCCAAGUGAUCAGCAGACCGAGGGAAGUCCGCGGUUUCCCGGCUCCGAAUUGAUGGGGAUCGGGAUGGGCUGGGAAGCCCAAUCUUUGCAUUCAGAGACUUGUUGCCUCCAAAUGUUCGGGCUUGAAGGAACCUUAAAGAGCCAAGAGCAGCCUCUGAUUUUGAAGGAGGAGGGAUCUCUCCCCUGCCGUCCCCCAGUCUCGGACCCUCUAGGUCCCACUACUCUCGCUGCGGGGUGGGGGUGGGGGGGAGGCGAGAGAGGGAGAUCGGCUCCCCGUCCCCACCACGUUCCGGCCAGGCUCGAGGCGCUGGGAACCGGGGAAUCGGGAGAGGCUUUCAGUGGGAGACGGCCCCGGAGCUGGGCCUUGAAGGAAGGGAGGGAUUCCAAGGGCGGAGGUGAGGGGGGGGGUGGGGGGAGUCGCAUUCCAAGCCUGGGAACGAUCUGGAGAACGGGGGCGGCAGCAACGCCAAAGGCCAUAUUCCCGCCCGGCCCCAGAGAAAUCGGUUGCGCUGGAAUAUUGAGCACAUGGGAUGGGGGGGAGGGGAGUAGCAGCAGAUAAGGGGGGCUCCGGGGGAGGGGGGUGCCUCAGACACCCGGCCGAGCCGGGCACUGCGCAGACGCCCCGAGGAGGGAGGCGGGCUUUUUCCAGCAACUAUUUAAGUUUCCCCCAAGUCUCGGCAGUCGGGGCUCGGGCUCGGCUGAGGGCUGCCGGUGGCCGGCUCGCCUCCCUCCCCUUCGUCCUCCCCGCUUCCCGCUGGCCUCGUCUCGUCUGGGCCAUGCAGUCCGUGGUGUCUCCCGUGACCAAGGCCAUCUUCGUGGCUUUGUUCCUCUUUGCCAUCCUGCUCAUCCUCUACGUGAUCCUCUGGUACAUCUGCAGAGACGUGGACAACGACUACAUCUGAGGAGCCCGGGGACGCCGGCCGGCCGGAUGGCCGCCGUCUCUGGCGCGAACAGAAUGGAAAUUUCCCAUCACACUCCUUUCCAGUCCUUUGUGGUGGCUUUGAAACAACAUUGGAGGGAUAUGUGGAAGAAUCUUGUCGACAUCUUUAACCCAAUGCUGGCAAAGAGCCAUAUCAAGUCUUUUUUGAGGGGAACGGAUCAGGAAGGGAAACCAAUGGGCAAAAGUAAAGAGAAAAAAAGCAAGAGAAGUGGAUUGUGUGAUUAUACAAAUAGUGGACUCAGUACUCGUGAAUGGCUUGAUGUCAGUAUGGUUUUUUGUGAAGCAUUAUUUUGAGAUAAAGACAGCUAGGUGGCGCUGCAGUGGAUAGAGUGCUGGACCUGAAGUCGGCAAGAUUUAUCUUCCCGUAUUCAAAUCUGACCUCAGACAUUUACUAGCUGUGUGAUCCUGAGCGAGUCACUUAACCCUUUGCCUGUGUUUCCUCAUCUGUAAAAUGAACCAGAGAAGGAAAUGGCAAACCGUUCCAAUAGCUUUGCCAAGAAAACCCCAAACAGGAUCGUGAAGAAUCAGGCACAACUCAAACAACUCAACAACAUACAUCGAGAGAAACAGAAGAAUCCACAAAAGACGUGUUAAGUAUGGGGCCCCCUGUGAGAAAGAAGGGAAUUUGGUUAUUUGUUUUAUGUUUGACUCUGAUCACACUCAUACUUUUGGAUUCCUACUCCCUCUGCUUUGAGCUUUUGGAGACUGGGAAAGAAGGAAAAAAUAGUAAGGAGGGAUAAGUGGAACCCAUUUGGUGGGAGAAAUUAGGAGAGAAAAAUAGAACGGGUGCUCUGAAGCAGUUUGUACUAGCUUUGAAAAAAAAGAAAUUAUCUUUUUUAUAAAGGAUGAAGAGCAGAGUAAGUCUGACUGUCACUCAGUCUAGUGCUCAAGAAGCUUCAGUGGCUCCCUAUUGCUUCUUGGGUAAAAUACAAUCUCCUUUGGCAUUGAAAGCCCUUCACAAAAUGCCUCUAACUUAUUCUUCCUGACUGAUAGCACAAUACUUCUCCCCCCCCCCCCCACACACACACUUUACAUUCGAACCAAAUUGUUUUAGGUAUGUGACAUUUUAUUCACGAGUUGUUCCCUAUGUGUGGACUGCUCUCCUGCCUCAUUUCCACCUUUUGUAAUCCCUAGCUUUUUUUUCAAGGCUAAGCUCAAGUGCUACCUUCUAAACAAGCAAUUGAUACUUAUCUCCUCAGUUAUUAGUAUCUUCUCACCAGUUACAUUGUAUUUUGUGUAUAUAAGUAUGUAAUUUAAAUAUUUCAUUUAAAACAACAUUGGAUAGGAGUACAUCUAAUAUAAAUUGGAUGUAAUUAACAACUACACUGCAAUUAAUAAUUGCAGCACAUGAAGUAUCAUAAGAAAUUUUCAGUUACUCUAAGGCCUUAUCAGGAUUGAGUUCAUUUUUUCUAAUUUGCUUUUCUUCUGAGUCUCUUCUUAUCACUUCACCUUUGAUGUAAGUCUUUCUAGAUUUCUUUAUAUUCUUCAUAUUUGAUGGUCUUAAUGGCAUAUUAUUCCAUUAUACCCAUGUGCCAUAUUUAACUAUUCCUCUAUUAUUCAACAUCUAGUUUUCAGGAGGUUUUUUUUUUUUUUUAAGUAACAUGUAAUACUCCUGUGAAAAUUUUAGAAUGGGUAGAUUUUUUUUUAAUAUUGCUUUCAAGAUAUAUUUUCAACACUAGAAUUAUUGAGUCAAAGGAUAUGAUUGUUUUUGUAAUUUGCUGCAGAAUUGUCCUCCAAAAUUAGUAUUUAAGUUUUCAGUUUCGAUGGAUGAAUCCGUCUCUUCACAAUUCUACCAGUUAUGAGUUUAGUUGCUUUCAGUUUCUUUUUGCCAAUUAGUUGGCAAAUAAAUUGAAGUGGGACCUCAAAAUUGUUAUAUAUUGCAUCUCCUUGAUUUGAGCAUUUCCCCAAGUAAUUAUUAAUAAUUAAUGUUGUCUUUUUAAAGCUGCCUAUCAUAUCCUUUGACCAUUUAUGCACCGUGGAUUCGGAAUUACUCUUGUAACUUUUUAAUAGUUUGAUAUAUAGAUGUCUAGCUUUUAUCUGUCAUGUUUGCUUUAGAUAUAUUUAACAAUCCAUGAUUAUUUUUCUUUUUCAUUAUAUUGCUUUAAGUUGGAGAGAAACUUUUAAAUAUUUUAUUAAGUCAAUCCUUUGAUUCCCAUUUCCUUUAUUUUUAAUUGAAAAACAAAUCACUAUCCUUUACACAGUUAUUACAAAUGCUAUAUUCUUCUUUCUUCCACAUUGUUAUAGUUUUUAUAUUUGUUUCAUUUACUUGGAAUCUGGUUAGAUUAUACAUUGUGAGAUAUGGAUCUAAAUUCCUUUUCCAUCUCAUUGUCAACUAAUUUUCCUGAAUACAUAUGUUAAAUAAUGAAUCUUAUACAGUUUUUAUUUUGCAUAGGCUUAUCAAAUACUGAUUUUUGUGUGUAUGUCUAUUGAGUUGCAAGUUUGUUGUAUCUAUUAUAUUUCAUUGGUAUAUUUUUUUUCCUUCUAGUGCUAAUCAUGAUAAUUAGUUUUAGCAGUUUUUCUCUCUAGCGUGACUUAAUAUUCCUGUCUAUUUGUUUAUAUACAUUUCCUUAUGAUGUUAUCUGGUUCUAUAAAGAAGCAUUUUAGUCUUUUCAUUGUUCGAGUAAAUAAAUACAUAUAUUUUGUCGUUAUAAUUGCACAGCUGUCCUUCUAUAGGUCUUGUCUAUUCAUAGGUAGAUAGAUUUCCACAUAUUUGACAGUUUCUGUUAUUGCUGGAGGGAUUUCUUUUUGUUAUGUUUUCUUAAUCUCUAUUAUUAAUAAAUAAGACUGUAGAUGACUGUG